rnacentral:rRNA from 1 species
AGAGUUUGAUCCUGGCUCAGAAUCAACGCUGGCGGCGCGCCUAACACAUGCAAGUCGAACGAGAAAGGGGAGCAAUCCCUAAGUACAGUGGCGUACGGGUGAGUAACACGUGGGUAAUCUACCUUCUGGUGGGGAAUAACCCUGGGAAACCGGGGCUAAUACCGCAUGAGUCCGAGAGGAGAAAGCAGCAAUGCGCCGGAAGAGGAGCCCGCGGCCGAUUAGCUAGUUGGUAGGGUAACAGCCUACCAAGGUCAAUAGAUAUCUCGUAGUAGCCAGGCCUGGAGAGGGCAACAUCGACCCUACCACUGGCACUGAAAUACACGGGCGCAGGUACUCCUAGACAGUGGAGGCUAUGCAGAGAGGGAAUCUCUGCACAUAUGGAGGGAAACUCCUGGAUGCAAGCGACGCCGGCGUGAAGCGAUGAAGCCCCUUCGGGGUGUAAAUGCUCUUUUCAGACAGGGAAGUAUGAAUGACGGAUACCUGGCAGAAGCAGCUGCGUGCUCAACCUAACGUGACCGAGCAAGCCGCGGGGUAAUAACGUUAGUGCAGCACAAGGCCGUUUGUUCCGGAGAGUCUCAUCUGAGUCCAGCGUCUUACGACAGGUGCUAUGUCGGUACUGAGCGGGUUAUGCGAGCAAAGUUCUGCGGGCUGAGUGUAAUAUAUCCCGGCUCCAACUGGGAGGGUGCGCCGGAAACUGCCGGACUCGAGUGCGGGAGAGGAGAGUGGAAUUCCUGGUGUAGCGGUGAAAUGCGUAGAUAUCAGGAGGAACACCGGUGGUGUAGACGGCUCUCUGGACCGUAACUGACGCUGAAACACGAAAGCGUGGGUAGCAAACAGGAUUAGAUACCCUGGUAGUCCACGCCCUAAACGAUGCACAUUUGGUGUGGGUCAUUCAGUUGAUCCGUGCCGGAGCUAACGCGUUAAAUGUGCCGCCUGGGGAGUACAGUCGCAAGGCUGAAACUCAAAGGAAUUGACGGGGGCCCGCACAAGCGGUGGAGCAUGUGGUUCAAUUCGACGCAACGCGAAGAACCUUACCUGGGCUCGAACGGCUGGUUACCGGCGGUGGAAACAUCGCUACCCCGCAAGGGGGUCCAGUCGAGGUGCUGCAUGGCUGUCGUCAGCUCGUGUCGUGAGAUGUUGGGUUAAGUCCCGCAACGAGCGCAACCCA